rnacentral:lncRNA from 1 species
CAUGGAUAUCCUGAAGGGUCAGCCUUUAUCUGUGAUGUGCCAAAGAAGAGAAAGAGAGGUGGUGGAAAUCCACCUUGACUAUUAUAACUCUGCCUCUGAUGUGGCCCAAUCAUGUCCACUCACAUUUUUUGGAUGUUGCAAAUGAUACGACUGACACUGAUAACCAUGAAGGAGAAGUAUUAUCCUUUUUCAGAGAAUCAGAGUGUGGCUCAGUUUCUGCAUAAUCUUUAGUUGAGGGCCCCACUCAAGGUGCUGGGCCAGAACUGGACAGCCCCUGGCUAUUAAGGAGUGGAUUCUCUUUUGGGCACCUGGCCAAACUUGACUGCGGUGGUAUCAAUUGUAGGUAUAUUAUUGUAUUCA